rnacentral:rRNA from 1 species
AGCGAACGCUGGCGGCAGGCCUAACACAUGCAAGUCGAACGAACCCUUCGGGGUUAGUGGCGGACGGGUGAGUAACACGUGGGAACGUGCCUUUAGGUUCGGAAUAACUCAGGGAAACUUGUGCUAAUACCCAAUGUGCCCUUCGGGGGCAAGAUUUAUCGCCAUAGGAUGGGCCCGCGUCGGAUUAGCUAGUUGGUGAGGUAAUGGCUCACCAAGGCGACGAUCCGUAGCUGGUCUGAGAGGAUGAUCAGCCACACUGGGACUGAGACACGGCCCAGACUCCUACGGGAGGCAGCAGUGGGGAAUAUUGGACAAUGGGCGCAAGCCUGAUCCAGCCAUGCCGCGUGAGUGAUGAGGGUCUUCGGAUUGUAAAACUCUUUCGCCGGGGAAGAUAAUGACGGUACCCGGAGAAGAAGCUCCGGCUAACUUCGUGCCAGCCGCCGCGGUAACAC